rnacentral:rRNA from 1 species
UACGUAGGGUGCGAGCGUUGUCCGGAAUUAUUGGGCGUAAAGAGCUCGUAGGCGGUUUGUUGCGUCGGGCUGUGAAAACCUGCCGGCUUAACUGUGGGCUUGCAGUCGAUACGGGCAGACGUUGAGUUCGGCAGGGGAGACUGGAAUUCCUGGUGUAGCGGUGAAAUGCGCAGAUAUCAGGAGGAACACCGGUGGCGAAGGCGGUCUCUGGGCCGUACUGACGCGUGAGGUACGAAAGCUGGGGAGCGAACAGG